UCCAUAGUUUUCACAUGUUAUUUUCACAUUUCGCACAUGAUUUUAACAUUUCACACGUUUAUUUAACGUUUUCACACGGUUUUUUAACAAACGAUACAACUAACGUUUAACAACUGAGAAAUAGAUGUUUUAAUAAAAAAUGACAGGCUACUUAUCGUUUCACUCCAAAACAAUGUAAGCAUAAAUUCAUUGUUUUCGUUUAAAUGACUGUAAAGGCAAAGGUCUAAGACCACACAGCCUUGUUUCAUGUUAUGUUUUUUACUUAAAUAUAUUUUAUUUUUAUUUACUGUUAUAAAAUUACGUCGAUAAGCGGUGGAAUUUUUAAAUUAGAUAGGUUAGAGUUAUUUUUUUUUUGUAACAAAACUGUCUAUAAACGGUGUAAUUUUUAAAUAAGAUAGGUUAGGGUUAUUUUUUUUUUUUGUAACAAAACUGUUUGUAAACGGUGUAAUUUUUAAAUUAGAUAGGUUAGGGUUAUUUUUUUUUGUAACAAAACUAUGUCGAUAACGAGUGUAAGUUUUAAAUUAGAUAGGUUAGGGUUAUUUUUUUUAGUAACAAAACUGUCUAUAAGCGGUGUAAUUUUUAAAUUUGAUAGGUUAGGGUUAUUUUAUUUUUUUUUUAGUAACAAAGCUUCAUUAUGAAUUUUAAAUAAUCGGAAAAAAAUCGAUUUUUCGAAUAUGGUAUCGAUUAUUUUAUCGGAAGUUGAUCUAAAAAAAACUUGACGGGGAUAGACGACCUAAAGAAAAGUUAAAAGAAGUUUUUUGAAAUAAAUCGAUUAUUUUAUUUAUCGAUUAUUAUUUCUUAAUAAAUUCAAGUUAUUGUAAGAAGGAAGUAAUCGAUUUUAAGUAAUCGCUUUUUAUCAAAUUUCGCAUCCCUAGUAAAUACAUGAUUGGUUACAUUACAAUAACUACUCACCAACAGAAGUAAAAAUACAAUUACAUAAAUUACAAAUUGUGUAACAAUGUUACCAUACUAAAAUUUUAGAUGAUGUACUAUUAAUACUAAAACUAUGUACUAUGCUAUUUUUAACUGAUUGAUGAACAUUUAAAUUGCAACUAUAAACGAAAUUUCUAAUUAUACUCUGUGCAGAGAGAUCUAUUUCAUUAAGAAAAACUAUAAAUACACUUAGCAAGUAGGGUAAAGAUUGUUGAACGC
rnacentral:misc_RNA from 1 species